GCUUUCGUGGCGCAAUAGGCAGCGCGUUCGGCUGUUAACCGAAAGGUUAGUGGUUGGGAGCG
rfam:Angiostrongylus cantonensis strain Taiwan genome assembly, scaffold: ACAC_contig0013168